UACGUAGGGUGCAAGCGUUGUCCGGAAUUAUUGGCGUAAAGAGCUCGUAGGCGGUCUGUCGCGUCUGCUGUGAAAACUCAGGGCUUAACCCUGAGCUUGCAGUGGGUACGGGCAGACUAGAGUGCGGUAGGGGAGACUGGAAUUCCUGGUGUAGCGGUGAAAUGCGCAGAUAUCAGGAGGGAACACCGGUGGGCGAAAGGCGGGUCUCUGGGCCGUAACU
rnacentral:rRNA from 1 species